rnacentral:rRNA from 1 species
UACAGAGGUCUCAAGCGUUGUUCGGAAUUACUGGGCGUAAAGGGUGCGCAGGCCGCGCGGGCAGUCAAAUGUGUAAUCCAGGGGCUCAACCCCUGAACUGCGCUUGAUACUUCCGCGCUCGAGCUUUGGAGAGGAGUCUGGAAUUCUCGGUGUAGCAGUGAAAUGCGUGGAUAUCGAGAGGAACACCUGCGGCGAAGGCGGGUUGCUGGGCGUGACACUGACGCUGAUGCGCGAAAGCUAGGGGAGCGAACGGG